rnacentral:lncRNA from 1 species
AAAAAGGCGUUCUUUUUGUGAUUUUUUUUUAAAGAAAAAAGAAAAAAAAAAAGUAACUGAAGUGGCGGUGUUUUUAACUUUUAAUUUUAAACCCGUUAGCAAUAAAAACCACGGAACCAACGACUACUACUACUGCUACACUAAACCAGCUCAAAAAAUAUAUACAGCAGCUUACGAUCGAUAGCUUACCAAGCACUUAUUGCGCUGCAAAUACCAUCGGCAAACCCACCAAAGAAACCAAGUCCCCCGGGUCCUCCAGGUCCCCAACCCGGCCCACCAGGGCCAGGUCCCCAACCCGGUCCACCAGGUCCUCCAGGUCCCCAACCCGGCCCACCAGGUCCUGGUCCCCAACCCGGUCCUCCAGGUCCGGGUCCUCCUCCUCCGCCUCCUGGCCCAGGUCCUCCAGGUCCCAUUGUGGAGUGAUAUUAAUCUCUGUGCGUCUUCUGGAGUCGGAGAUGCCGUAUGGGACUGAACCCAACAAAGAGACAGAUAGUGUGAGUGUGUGUGUGUGUGUUUUGUCGAAAGGGAAAGGGUUGUGCCGUCCUAAGUUUGGAGUUCAAAAGCAUUGAAAAAUGAAAAGUUUACGAGACAGCAUUCAAAAAUAUUUGGCAGCAUAUAAUACGAAGACCAUCCCAAAGGCAAAGGCAGCAG